rnacentral:rRNA from 1 species
UACGAAGGGGGCUAGCGUUGUUCGGAAUUACUGGGCGUAAAGCGCGCGCAGGCGGCUAUCCAAGUCAGUGGUGAAAGCCCGGAGCUCAACUCCGGAACUGCCAUUGAAACUGUUUAGCUUGAGGACGAGAGAGGUGAGUGGAAUUCCCAGUGUAGAGGUGAAAUUCGUAGAUAUUGGGAAGAACACCGAUGGCGAAGGCGGCUCACUGGCUCGUUUCUGACGCUCAGGCGCGAUAGCGUGGGGAUCAAACAGG